rnacentral:rRNA from 1 species
UGAUGCAGCCAUGCCGCGUGUAUGAAGAAGGCCUUCGGGUUGUAAAGUACUUUCAGCGGGGAGGAAGGGAGUAAAGUUAAUACCUUUGCUCAUUGACGUUACCCGCAGAAGAAGCACCGGCUAACUCCGUGCCAGCAGCCGCGGUAAU